ACAGAAUUCAUCACAGUACAGAAAUAGCAUUAGUGAAAGUUACAAAUGAUCUUCUUACAGCCUCUGACAGUGGACACUAUAUAAAUAAAAUUGAAUUGAAUUGAACUGAAUCGCUGUGGAUUCAUCAUUAUCUCUUUGUUUCCCAGGGCUGAGAAUAUUUUCCUGCAGUGCUUGCAGAAGUUUCCAGAGUUUGAGGAAAGUCUUUGUCAGACUUUCCAUCAGCGCUACGCUGACUUUCAUCUCUAUCACAAAAAAAAUGAAGUUGAAGCCAUCGCCCACUACACCAAGGGGCUGCUGGUAGCACUAAAAACAGAAGCGAGGAGACUGUGCAGUAAGAGACUGAAGCAAAUCGCUGAGAGACGUCUGUCAAAGAACCGGGAUGAUGGCGAGGCUCACGCUUUGCUGGGUCAGGUGGCCAAAGCUGAGGGCAACAAGAAGAAAGCUGCAGAGUUUUAUGAGAAAGCUCUGGACUGUGACGUGGACAAUGCAGAGUACCUGUCUGCGCUGUGUGAGCUGCGCAUGGAGCUGCAGUGACGAGAACAUCAACCUUUGAGACUUUUAUGACUUUUAAGACUUAUAUUCAUCACUGUAGCACUUGUGAUUUUAUCAGAAAAAUUAUUAUUUAGUUAGAACAGAAAUUCUGCAGGGUCAGGGUUAAGAAAACUUUAGUGAACACUAGUGAUGUGUGCUUCUGUGUCGAGGCUUCGAAGCAUGUAUCGAGGAAUUGAGGGAGACUUUUGUGAAGCGCGUAUCGAGGCUUCUGUUGGUGACGUUCGAAGCCUCGCAAGCCGGCCGUACCACAUGACUGAUUCAGGAAAUGAUUUGCGGGUUCGGCGUGCGAUUCGAAAUCUGAGGGGCAGCGAAACGCGAUGGAUCCCCCCUCACAGUGUGUGGUAUUGGGGACUAUUGCAUGUUGGUUUGCAGUCUGUUUGAGCUGUUUCUUUUUUGGUGAUGGAACCAGCCAGAAAGAGGAGAUUUUCCCUGUCUGGGAACAUUUUGAGCUGAUCUCUCCUGAUAAGGUGUGCGCAUAGUAAUAAAUUAUGACCCCAGCUUCCCCUGUGAAAGGGUAUUUUCUAAAGCGGGCAAAGUCAUUUCCAACAAAAGAAACCAGCUGAAGCCCAGCACUGUGGCAAAGCUGUUAUUUCUAAAUAAAAGCAAAUAAAUAACACAGUGGUGAGCACAGUUACAAACCAAGUAACACAAUCCCAUUCACAUCACAACUCUCCCCAAUUUAUUUCCACUUUCCCUCUUGACCCCAGCAUUGUAUCAUAAAGACAGACACCAUAUUAGUUAGUUCAGUAUUUAUUUAUUAGCAUCACAAAAAUCAUUUAUUCUGUUCAGAGCUUCACGCACCAAAGCCUUGGUGUAAUUAUAAUCAGUCUGCCUGUUUUACAUUGACUGCCCUCUUGAUGGCGCAGUAGAGUGUUUUAUUUAGAGUUUUAUUCUACUUAGCAACACGGUGCAGUGACAUGUAGCCACCCUCCUUAGACAGAGAUGUACACGUUUUGGCAAAACCUUCAAGGAUAAGAUAAAUGUAUUUUUCUCGGAGACCGGGAAGGCCAUAAAUAAAAUAAACAUAUCUCCCAAAGACCGUGAAGUCAACCUGGAGUCCAUUGGUCCACUAUCCGUCUGCUCUCUAUCUAAUUUAAUUAUUUAUUUAAUUGCCUAUUAUUUGCUUCAGCCACUACUUAUUGAUUUCUUUAUAUAACGCUUUAUACAACACGUUUGCAUUUACCCAUUCUGCCUGAUUGUUGGGUUCUCUCUGGAUUAUUGUCCGGUCUUUACCUUUACCUUACAAUAUAAAGCACCUCGAGGCGACUGUUGCUGUGAUUUGGUGCCAUAUUAAUAAAAUUGAAUUGAACU